AUUUGGAGAGGAUGCUUUUGGCGCGGCGCCGUCCGAGUUCCUUGGAACAGGACGCCACAGAGGGUGAGAGCCCCGUACGGACGGACGCCUAGCCUCUACAAAGCUCCUUCGACGAGUCGAGUAGUUUGGGAAUGCUGCUCUAAAUGGGAGGUAAAUUUCUUCUAAAGCUAAAUACCGGCCAGAGACCGAUAGCGCACAAGUAGAGUGAUCGAAAGAUGAAAAGCACUUUGAAAAGAGGGUUAAAAAGUACGUGAAAUUGUUGAAAGGGAAGCGCCUGUGACCAGACUUGCGCCCCGCGGACCACCCGGCGUUCUCGCCGGUGCACUCCGCGGGGCGCAGGCCAGCAUCGGUUCUCCCAGGGGGAUAAAGGCCGCGGGAACGUAGCUCCUUCGGGAGUGUUAUAGCCCGCGGUGGCAUGCCCCUGGGGGGACCGAGGACCGCGCUUCGGCAAGGAUGCUGGCGUAAUGGUCACCAGCGACCCGUCUUGAAACACGGACCAAGGAGUCAAGCAUUGGGGCGAGUGUAUGGGUGCCAAACCCGCACGCGAAAUGAAAGUAAACGCAGGUGAGAGCUUCGGCGCAUCAUCGACCGAUCCUGAUGUCUUCGGAUGGAUUUGAGUAAGAGCCUUACCGCUUGGACCCGAAAGAUGGUGAACUAUGCCUGAAUAGGGUGAAGCCAGAGGAAACUCUGGUGGAGG
rnacentral:rRNA from 1 species